rnacentral:ribozyme from 13 species
CAAAAAAAAAAAAAAAAAAAAAAAAAAAAAAAAAAAA